rnacentral:lncRNA from 1 species
AUGGAAAAGAAAGGCAAAAAAGCAAAAUGGCUGUCUGGGGAGGCCUUACAAAUAGCUGUGAAAAGAAGAGAAGCCAAAAGCAAAGGAGAAAAGGAAAGAUAUAAGCAUCUGAAUGCAGAGUUCCAAAGAAUAGCAAGAAGAGAUAAGAAAGCCUUCUUCAGGGAUCAAUGCAAAGAAAUAGAGGAAAAGAACAGAAUGGGAAAGACUAGAGAUCUCUUCAAGAAAAUUAGAGAUACCAAGGGAAUAUUUCAUGCAAAGAUGGGCUCGAUAAAGGACAGAAAUGGUAUGGACCUAACAGAAGCAGAAGAUAUUAAGAAGAAGUGGCAAGAAUACACAGAAGAACUGUACAAAAAAGAUCUUCACGACCAAGAUAAUCACGAUGGUGUGAUCACUCAUCUAGAGCCAGACAUCCUGGAAUGUGAAGUCAAGUGGGCCUUAGAAAGCAUCACUACGAACAAAGCUAGUGGAGGUGAUGGAAUUCCAGUUGAGCUAUUUCAAAUCCUGAAAGAUGAUGCUGUGAAAGUGUUGCACUCAAUAUGCCAGCAAAUUUGGAAAACUCAGCAGUGGCCACAGGACUGGAAAAGGUCAGUUUUCAUUCCAAUCCCAAAGAAAGGCAAUGCCAAAGAAUGGUCAAACUACUACAUAAUUGCACUCAUCUCACAUGCUAGUAAAGUAAUGCUCAAAAUUCUCCAAGCCAGGCUUCAACAAUAUGUGAACCAUGAACUUCCUGAUGUUCAAGCUGGUUUUAGAAAAGGCAGAGGAACCAGAGAUCAAAUUGCCAACAUCUGCUGGAUCAUCGAAAAGGCAAGAGAGUUCCAGAAAAACAUCUAUUUCUGCUUUAUUGACUAUGCCAAAGACUUUGACUGUGUGGAUCACAAUAAACUGUGGAAAAUUCUGAAAGAGAUGGGAAUACCAGGCCACCUGACCUGCGUCUUGAGAAACUUGUAUGCAGGUCAGGAAGCAACAGUUAGAACUGGACAUGGAACAACAGAAUGUUUCCAAAUAGGAAAAGGGGUGCGUCAAGGCUGUAUACUGUCACCCUGCUUAUUUAACUUAUAUGCAGAGUACAUCAUGAGAAACGCUAGACAGGAAGAAACACAAGUUGGAAUCAAGAUUGCCGGGAGAAAUGUCAAUAAGCUCAGAUAUGCAGAUGCCACCACCCUUAUGGCAAAAAGUGAAGAGGAACUAAAAAGCCUCUUGAUGAAAGUGAAAGAGGAGAGUGAAAAAGUUGGCUUAAAGCUCAGCAUUCAGAAAACGAAUAUUAUGGCAUCCAGUCCCAUCACUUCAUGGGAAAUAGAUGGGGAAACAGUAGAAACAGUGUCAGGCUUUAUUUUUUUGGGCUCUAAAAUCACUGCAGAUGGUGACUGUAGCCAUGAAAUUAAAAGAUGCUUACUCCUUGGAAGGAAAGUUAUGACCAACCUAGGUAGCAUAUUGAAAAGUAGAGACGUUACUUUGCUGACUAAGGUCCAUAUAGUCAAGGCUAUGGUUUUUCCUGUGGUCAUGUAUGGAUGUGAGAGUUGGACUGUGAAGAAGGCUGGGCGCUGA